AACGAACGCUGGCGGCAGGCCUAAUACAUGCAAGUCGAACGCCGUAGCAAUACGGAGUGGCAGACGGGUGAGUAACGCGUGGGAACCUUCCUAAUGGUACGGAAUAGCCCGGGGAAACCCGGAGUAAUACCGUAUAAGCCCGUAAGGGGAAAGAUUUAUCGCCAUUAGAUGGGCCCGCGUCGGAUUAGCUAGUUGGUAGGGUAACGGCCUACCAAGGCUACGAUCCGUAGCUGGUCUGAGAGGAUGAUCAGCCACACUGGGACUGAGACACGGCCCAGACUCCUACGGGAGGCAGCAGUAGGGAAUAUUGGACAAUGGGCGAAAGCCUGAUCCAGCCAUGCCGCGUGAGUGAUGAAGGCCUUAGGGUUGUAAAGCUCUUUCAGCGGGAAGAUAAUGACGGUACCCGCAGAAGAAGCCCCGGCUAACUUCGUGCCAGCAGCCGCAGUAA
rnacentral:rRNA from 1 species